rnacentral:rRNA from 1 species
UUUGCGGCACGAGUUGUAGAUUGCAGGUUGGAGUCUGUGUGGAAGGCGGUGUCCAAGUCCCUUGGAACAGGGCGCCCAGGAGGGUGAGAGCCCCGUGGGAUGCCGGCGGAAGCAGUGAGGCCCUUCUGACGAGUCGAGUUGUUUGGGAAUGCAGCUCCAAGCGGGUGGUAAAUUCCAUCUAAGGCUAAAUACUGGCGAGAGACCGAUAGCGAACAAGUACUGUGAAGGAAAGAUGAAAAGCACUUUGAAAAGAGAGUGAAACAGCACGUGAAAUUGUUGAAAGGGAAGGGUAUUGCGCCCGACAUGGGGAUUGCGCACCGCUGCCUCUCGUGGGCGGCGCUCUGGGCUUUCCCUGGGCCA